UGGGGAAUUUUGGACAAUGGGCGAAAGCCUGAUCCAGCAAUGCCGCGUGUGUGAAGAAGGCCUUCGGGUUGUAAAGCACUUUUGUCCGGAAAGAAAUCCUUGGCUCUAAUACAGUCGGGGGAUGACGGUACCGGAAGAAUAAGCACCGGCUAACUACGUGCCAGCAGCCGCGGUAAUACGUAGGGUGCAAGCGUUAAUCGGAAUUACUGGGCGUAAAGCGUGCGCAGGCGGUUUGCUAAGACCGAUGUGAAAUCCCCGGGCUCAACCUGGGAACUGCAUUGGUGACUGGCAGGCUAGAGCAUGGCAGAGGGGGGUAGAAUUCCACGUGUAGCAGUGAAAUGCGUAGAGAUGUGGAGGAAUACCGAUGGCGAAGGCAGCCCCCUGGGCCAAUACUGACGCUCAUGCACGAAAGCGUGGGGAGCAAACAGGAUUAGAUACCCUGGUAGUCCACGCCCUAAACGAUGUCAACUAGUUGUUGGGGAUUCAUUUCCUUAGUAACGUAGCUAACGCGUGAAGUUGACCGCCUGGGGAGUACGGUCGCAAGAUUAAAACUCAAA
rnacentral:rRNA from 1 species